CUUGCCUGACCUUGAAUCAACAGAAACUUCUUUGUUUUCAUAGUGAACAUAACAUCUGAUAACAGUGACUCAGCUGAAGAACUUUGCACCUCUGUGAAGUAUCACCAACACUGUGACAAAUGCAAUCCUGAUGGCUGUGGUCUAAAGGGCAGAGCUGCCAUCACUCUGGAGGAGGAGGAGGAAGACAUCGACAUCUGGUGGCAGGACAGGAACAAAGGGUGGGCUCCAAGACAUGCAGCUUGCUGCUGAUGGUACAGGAGCUGAAAGUCAUCAGCCUCUCCAUCCUGUCCCAUCUCUGCGAGUCAUCAGGAUUUACUCACUCCCCUUUGCCUACUAACUUGGGUAUGUUUAGAAGCUGCUUGGAUCCUGAAGACCUGCUCAUCUGGGUGCUACCAGCACAUCCUUUCCUGCUCUUUGUUCCAGGCACUCCUAUCUAUGUUCCACUUACACUAAUCUUAACAUUUCUACUCCAACUCUCUGCAUAGAAAGGGUAGGAAGAUGGGAAGGUACUGGGGGUAUUUACUGGUGUCCGGAGGAGAUCACAUGUAGGAGAAACCAAGGGGACACAAAUGUGUCAGAAGCUUGGCUGCUCCCAAAAGGAAUUAUUUUCCUCCCUUCCCCCUCCCCCCCUUUUUUUCAAAAGUUCAGGCACUUAUCAGUGCACAGUGUUAUGAUGACACUAUUAGGAAUCCCAAAUAAAACCUCUCUCUAUGGAUUUUCAUCAGCUCCUUCUCAAAUUCAUUCUUCUUGUAGACGAGUUUGUCUUUCCAAUAGUUUUUUGGUAAAAUCAUGGAAAUUUCUCUGCGGCUUUCACUCCCCUUUUUAAGGGUGUGGAUAUAUUU